GAUGAACGCUAGCUACAGGCUUAACACAUGCAAGUCGAGGGGAAACGACAUCGAAAGCUUGCUUUUGAUGGGCGUCGACCGGCGCACGGGUGAGUAACGCGUAUCCAACCUGCCCAUCACUUGGGAAUAACCUUGCGAAAGUAAGACUAAUACCCAAUGACAUCCCACGAAGACAUCUGAAUGGGAUUAAAGAUUUAUCGGUGAUGGAUGGGGAUGCGUCUGAUUAGCUUGUUGGCGGGGUAACGGCCCACCAAGGCAACGAUCAGUAGGGGUUCUGAGAGGAAGGCACCCCACAUUGGAACCGCGACACAGUCCAAACUGCUAGGGGACGCAGGAGAGAGGAAUGUUAGGCAAUGGGCGAGAGCCUGAACCAGCCAAGUAGCGGGCAGGAUGACGGCCCUAUGGGUUGUAAACUGUUUUUAUAAGGGAAUAAUGUGGGUCUCGGGAGACUUUUUGCAGGUACCUUAUGAAUAAGGACCGGCUAAUUCCGUG
rnacentral:rRNA from 1 species